UGGAUGUCUAGGAAAGAAGCUUUUCCA
rnacentral:piRNA from 1 species